CGUAUGUGAUCUACCUCAUGGGUGGGGGAUAGCCCGUGUGAAACACUGGGGUAAGUACCGUCAUGAGGCUCUUGGUGUCACUAGGCCAGGAGUAGAACAGGUGCAAUUGCAGCCGUCUGGGGAUGAGCCUGCGGUCCGAUUACGUAGUCUGGUGGGGUAAAGGCCUUACCGAAGCCGGACUGAUGGAUAGCCGGCCUGAUAGGGUGUCCUGGCCAACGACUGGAACUGAGACACGGUCCUAAGGACUCCUACGGGAGGCACGCUAGCUAAGAAUCUUCCGCAAUGGGGGCAACCCUGACGGAGCGACGCCGGUGGAUGAUGAAGGCCGUAAGGUUGUCCAAUCCUUUAGUUAGGCGAAUGAAUAAGGGGGACGGAGUGGAAAGCCUUCCUGAUGACGUUUGCCAACGAAUAAAGCCCCGGCUAAUUACGUGCCAGCA
rnacentral:rRNA from 1 species